rnacentral:rRNA from 1 species
AGCUACAGGCUUAACACAUGCAAGUCGAGGGGCAUCAGGAAGAAAGCUUGCUUUCUUUGCUGGCGACCGGCGCACGGGUGAGUAACACGUAUCCAACCUGCCCUUUACUCGGGGAUAGCCUUUCGAAAGAAAGAUUAAUACCCGAUAGCAUAAUGAUUCCGCAUGGUUUCAUUAUUAAAGGAUUCCGGUAAAGGAUGGGGAUGCGUUCCAUUAGGUUGUUGGUGAGGUAACGGCUCACCAAGCCUUCGAUGGAUAGGGGUUCUGAGAGGAAGGUCCCCCACAUUGGAACUGAGACACGGUCCAAACUCCUACGGGAGGCAGCAGUGAGGAAUAUUGGUCAAUGGGCGCUAGCCUGAACCAGCCAAGUAGCGUGAAGGAUGAAGGCUCUAUGGGUCGUAAACUUCUUUUAUAUAAGAAUAAAGUGCAGUAUGUAUACUGUUUUGUAUGUAUUAUAUGAAUAAGGAUCGGCUAACUCCGUGCCAGCAGCCGCGGUAAUACGGAGGAUCCGAGCGUUAUCCGGAUUUAUUGGGUUUAAAGGGAGCGUAGGUGGACUGGUAAGUCAGUUGUGAAAGUUUGCGGCUCAACCGUAAAAUUGCAGUUGAUACUGUCAGUCUUGAGUACAGUAGAGGUGGGCGGAAUUCGUGGUGUAGCGGUGAAAUGCUUAGAUAUCACGAAGAACUCCGAUUGCGAAGGCAGCUCACUGGACUGCAACUGACACUGAUGCUCGAAAGUGUGGGAAUCAAACAGGAUUAGAUACCCUGGUAGUCCACACAGUAAACGAUGAAUACUCGCUGUUUGCGAUAUACAGUAAGCGGCCAAGCGAAAGCAUUAAGUAUUCCACCUGGGGAGUACGCCGGCAACGGUGAAACUCAAAGGAAUUGACGGGGGCCCGCACAAGCGGAGGAACAUGUGGUUUAAUUCGAUGAUACGCGAGGAACCUUACCCGGGCUUAAAUUGCAGUGGAAUGAUGUGGAAACAUGUCAGUGAGCAAUCACCGCUGUGAAGGUGCUGCAUGGUUGUCGUCAGCUCGUGCCGUGAGGUGUCGGCUUAAGUGCCAUAACGAGCGCAACCCUUAUCUUCAGUUACUAACAGGUCAUGCUGAGGACUCUGGAGAGACUGCCGUCGUAAGAUGUGAGGAAGGUGGGGAUGACGUCAAAUCAGCACGGCCCUUACGUCCGGGGCUACACACGUGUUACAAUGGGGGGUACAGAAGGCAGCUAGCGGGUGACCGUAUGCUAAUCCCAAAAGCCUCUCUCAGUUCGGAUCGAAGUCUGCAACCCGACUUCGUGAAGCUGGAUUCGCUAGUAAUCGCGCAUCAGCCACGGCGCGGUGAAUACGUUCCCGGGCCUUGUACACACCGCCCGUCAAGCCAUGGGAGCCGGGGGUACCUGAAGUACGUAACCGCAAGGAUCGUCCUAGGGUAAAACUGGUGACUGG